rnacentral:rRNA from 1 species
CAGUCUUCGCUCGAGUGUCCCAAGUAACGCCGGGACCGUGAAAAACUGGCGUGAAUCUGCGAGGACCACCUCGUAAGGCUAAGUAUACGUAGACGACCGAUAGUGCACCAGUACCGUGAGGGAAAGGUGAAAAGUACCCCGGGAGGGGAGUGAAAUAGUACCUGAAACCGUUGGUUUACAAUCAGUCAAAGCGUCGUCAUGACUUGUCAUGGCCGCGAUGGCGUGCCUUUUGAAGAAUGAGCCAGCGAGUUACGAUACGUGGCAAGGUUAACCAGUGAUGGGGAGCCGGAGCGAAAGCGAGUCUGAAUAGGGCGUUCAGUCGCGUGUUGUAGACCCGAAGCCAAGUGAUCUAUCCAUGGGCAGGCUGAAGCGGGGGUAAGACCUCGUGGAGGGCCGAACCCACCUAGGUUAAAAACUGGGGGAGUGACCUGUGGAUAGGGGUGAAAGGCCAAUCAAACUUGGUGAUAGCUGGUUCUCCCCGAAAUGCAUUUAGGUGCAGCGUCGUGUGUUCAGUCA